UAUGUAACAAGAUGUAUCUGGUCCAGGUCCCCUGUAUGGUGCAUGCUGCUCACCGUUGGCGUUUCUUACCGGAUACACUUGAAUGUAACAUCUGACAUCAUUAUUGACAUUUGUUGCAGCUGCGUGUCAAAGUAGCUGAAUGUUUGCUGCGGAAAAAAGGUCGCAGACGAUGGAUUUUAAACACUUUCGACGACAAAAUUUCAUGAUAGAGAGUGAAAUAUGAAAAUAUAGCUAGAUUAUUUUGUUUUUAUCACUUCUGUGUAAUGUUCAAGGACUAUUGCAGGAGAAAAGUUCAAAGAACUUGUUUCCAAAUGAGGAUAUUUGCUCCACUGUUGGACAUGAAUGAAGCUCAGCAACAGGCUACGGAAGCAACUUUAUUAUCAGCCAUGAAUAAAACAGAGCAGUAAAACAAACCGUCGGGCACGUAGGUCUUGAGGAUGAUUUGGCAGAAGAUGGUGGGCAACGACAGGGGCUUGUUGCCCUCGUUCCUCAGCGAGAUGUGACGGUAGCCAGCCUGCAGGCCGUCCAGAGGCAGGAUGCGCUGGCCAAUCAGCUUGUUGUUGUCGUCGUAGACGGCGAUGCGCAGUACUGCCAGAUCUGGAUUUAACAGUUUUCCUGCAUGAUUGAAGUGUCAGAUGACCUGACCUGUACGCUGCAGGUUGCAGCGAUGACUCCAUCCACCGGCGUCUCUGAAAAAGGGUCAAACAUCCUGUCUGACCGCCGCAUGAAGUCAGGCUUCAGCAGAAGCUCCACCUUUUGUGUGACCCCCCCUCCAGGCUCACACAUGCUCCACUCCCAGCAGGCCAUAUGGUCCGACCAUUUUUGCUUCUGGCCAUGGAGCAGCAGCUGUUUUCCAACAGGCAUCACUCACUGUAUAGGUGUGUAUGUGGCAGUUUACGAAAAUGUGUGUGUAACAGAGAGUGAAAAACAGAUGAAGUUGGUGAGUGGACUAGGAGGUGUGUGUGCACGCACGCUCAGGUUCAUGCAUGCAUAACCUGAUGCUGCAAGACAAUAAAUGGCCCAGUGAGAUGCAGGAUUUAUUUUUAUGUCACAAAUAUGGUGAAAAUGUUUGCCUGAUCUUGUUUAUAGUGGACAUAAUUCUAUAAAACAAGCAAUGUGGCCAGAAAUAGUACUAUGGUUUCCCAAAACAUUUGCUUAAAGCUGGAGUUGGUAACUUUGAGCAAAUAUGAAAAAAAAGUUGUUUUUAUAAAACGGUAACUAUAUCCUGACAGUAGUGCAUGAGACAGGUAAUCUGUGAAAAAAGUCAUGUUCCUCUGCCUCCUCCU